rnacentral:rRNA from 1 species
CCUACGGGAGGCAGCAGUGGGGAAUAUUGGGCAAUGGGCGCAAGCCUGACCCAGCAACGCCGCGUGAAGGAAGAAGGCUUUCGGGUUGUAAACUUCUUUUCUGGGGGACGAACAAAUGACGGUACCCCAGGAAUAAGCCACGGCUAACUACGUGCCAGCAGCCGCGGUAAUACGUAGGUGGCAAGCGUUAUCCGGAUUUAUUGGGUGUAAAGGGCGUGUAGGCGGGAAUGCAAGUCAGAUGUGAAAACUAUGGGCUCAACCCAUAGCCUGCAUUUGAAACUGGCAAACGGGAGUGUGUGAGAGGAUAGUGGAAUUCCAGGUGUAGGAGUGAAAUCCGUAGAUAUCUGGAGGAACAUCAGUGGCGAAGGCGACUAUCUGGCACAUAACUGACGCUGAGGAGCGAAAGCGUGGGUAGCAAACAGGAUUAGAUACCCUGGUAGUC